GCCUCUGGAAGGGGCAGUUCUGUCAGACGGCAGUCUGUCCCCGAUGUUGGCAGAAGGCUGACAGGUCUGGCUGCAGGAGACCCUGAGUACUUACUGCUGUCCAUCAAGCAAGGGAAAGGACCACCUCACAUGUCCAAACGGGGCUGGAUGUUGUCAAAUUCCUCGCGGCUGUCAGUCUCCUUUUCUCCAGCCUGGCGACAGGUGUCCCGACAGAGCCCAGUUACCAAAGGCAGUCAGCGACUGCUUGCGCGCCUUCCAGAGGAGCUCGUGUUCCAGCAUCAAAGACUGAAGCUUGUGCAUUGAGGAGGAAUCUGCAAGAAGUUAAGUAACUUGCUCAAGAGGCACAAAGCUUGUUAAUGGCAGAGUUGGGAUCUGAACUCUGGUCUGUCCAUUUCCACACCGCGGGGAGUUUGGUGCACGUCACUGAGAAGCACUUUGGCACUGAUACCAUGCAAAGAGCCGUGGAAACACAGAAGUCACUGCUUACAACAGUCUUCACAGAGGAAAUACUGCAAGUUUUGUGAGCUGAAUAUUGAGAUGCGUUCUGCAAUGUGGAGAAGGGCCGGGGGGCAUUCAAGUCAGCGCUGCAUUUGCAAAAGGCAGAGCAUGGGUAGGAAGAAGCGAGACUGUGCGGCUGCACACAGGGAACGGGUUCUAAGUCAGGCAGGUAAGAGGAUGGGGGAUGAUGUGCUCAGGCAAGUUAGAGUCAGAGUAUAGGUGAGGCACGAUUCUAUCCAACUUGGACAGCUUCCAGAGAAUUCUAUAAUAAGCCAGCUGCAUGGCCGGAAUGUGCACUUGUCUUUGCAGAGUUUGGCAGUGGAGAAAAAUCUUCUGGGGAAUAGUUCUCCUGUAAGGGAGACCCCUCCCUUCCCCCCACCUUCUUUGCCACCAGUACAGCAAACGUGUGACCUCCAGCAGUGUACCUUCCAGAAGAAAGUACUAGUUAAAUUAUCUUAAGGAACUUAGGCAACCAAUUGGACCCUUAAGGUCUUUGGGUUUCCUGCUUAUAAAGGUUCUGUCUUUGAUGCCCUCAUUGCUAGUAGCAGCUGCAUGGUUUGUGGAAGUUAAUGUCCCUUUUCUCAUCUCUGCAGAUUGAGGACACCACAAAAGAACGCUGCGGGGCGUACAGCCACAAACUUGACAUUUCUAGCUCCAGAUCUGCACAGGCAAUGGCUGUGCUGCAGGGACUGUCCCCUGUGCCCACUCCCUGGUCAUCUGAGUGGAUCUGUAUUGCUGUUUGGAAAUAUCAGCCUCUGUUGCACAUCUUCCAACCAGCUGGCCGGAGUGGGAGGUGGAGUCCCUUGCUAUGAAACAGAGCUUUACUUUGCUGAUAACGUGUGUCCGUAAUGUAUUGAAGGUAACUUAGAAAUGCUGUGAGCCCAAACUUCAUUUUAUGGAGGAAAAUAACUGAGGCUCAGAGACGUAGAGUGUCACGCUCGGGGUCACCCAGCAGCCCUGCCUUGUCCUAUGCAGUAGCCACUCCCCUCCUGUGCCCACGAAGCCCUUGAAAUGGGGCCAGUCUGACUGGAGUGUGCUUUCAGUGUAAAUACACACAGGAUUUCAUUGGCUCCGUAGGAACAUAAGUAUCUCAUUGAUAUUUUUUACAUUGAUUAUAUGUUGAAAUGAUGACAUUUUGGAAAC